rnacentral:lncRNA from 1 species
UUGGCUUGCGCCACUCUUGUGAAAAUCUGCUACUAGUCGUUAUUCUUACGAGCUAACGUGGCUUUCGAGUUUUUGCUUUUUGCUAUCAUAGUUAUAAAGAGUUAGAAUAGUUUUUGUACAUAUAGUUUUUAAUAUUUCUGUUUGAUUUGCAUUUGAAUUAUAUCAAAAGAAAGUUUAUUUGUCUGGUAUUUCUCGUACUAAUGUCCUUUUCUUCACUUUUUGCUUUUUCUUCGACCUUGUCACUGGCGCUGAAGUAUUUCGAGAACCAGAUUAAUUACAGUGGGUCCAACGGGGCUAGGCUGCUGCUUGGUCAUCAGGCCUUUUGAUUAUGGUGUUUGCUGCAGACUCCGAUUGCAAACACUGGUGCUGCACCAGGUUUGAAUCGUGCGGACGGGCAGUAUAACGGUUUAAUUUUCCGCGUGUAAAAUCUAACUCAUUUCGUCAAAUAGCUUGUUUAUGCCGGUGCUGUACCUACAUGUGUGUUCGAAUGCCAUAUUCCCCAUAACCAUCUGUUUUCACACUCAACGUGGCUAUCUAGGAAUGGACAAAAUCAUUAACACUUAAUCUCCUGAAACAGUCAUAACUCAUUUAGAAUUAGAGUUCUGAGACACUGCUACGAUGCUAAUAAGGGCCUUUUUUGUGUGUUUUUGACGACCGUUAACAAUCUCGCGUCAUACAAGCCAUCAGCCCUAUUUAAGCAAAAAAUCCGUGAAUUCUUGUCAUUGUGUGUAUAGUUUUUGAGCUGUUAGUGGCUCAUUAGUUUUUUGGUUUCGUCCGAAGUCAGGACGCUUCGACGCUUCAGUUAAAGUUCUUUGUGUUCGUGCUAAAAUCUCACGUAAUAUUACACGUGAGUCCGAGGGAUAUAUUCCAAUCUUGACCAUUUUUCGACAACAGCAACCCCCAGCAGGCUGGAUACCGGCUGUUCAUUGUUCAUCUUUAAAGUCGCCGCAAGACGACUAGCCAUCCACCCUUCAAACAUAAGGUCAGUCAGUAAUUUAUUUUGUGUCGCGUGCCAUCUAAAUAAACAGAUGAGGCACUUUGAGUUGUUUGAUCUGAAAUCGUGCCAAUGACCUAUUGAGUGUUAGGAGAUUCCUUUACGUGAUUAAAGAACUUUCUUAAUUUUUGCAAAUAUAGUUCCAUUGUGAACUAUUAACGGACAAUUUUUUUAUUUAAAACAUUUUUUUGUGUAUUUUUUGUAAAUAUAUAAAUAAUAGGUUAUUGUAGAGUAAAACGAAACAUGAAAAGCUUUUUAUUGGUUUCACAGUGGACAAUGGUCUAAUUAACUUCAUUUACAAAAUUUAGCUUAUUUAGACAUUAUCUUUCAUUUUUUUAAAGUUUCUUUAAAUAUUGCGUUUGAUCAGUUAGUACAAUUAGAGACCACGGUCCCAUUAAUAGGAUAGUAUACAUAAUGCAUGAUAUUCUGUAAACACCGUUAAGAGUAGGGACAUGUAAGAUAUUAUAAUAUAUAUCAAAACUAUUUAGUAUCGUAAAUAAAGUUUUUUUGAGAUUUA